CCUACGCUGGGGCUUGCAGCAACACCAGAUCCUUAGCCCACUGAGCGAGGUGAGGGGUUAAACCUGCAUCCUCAUGGAUACUAGUCUGGUUCUUAACCUGCUACUCAGUCAUUCUGUGACCUUGGUGGAGGUCCCCACCAUGGGAACGCCAAGUCUAAAUAGUUUUUAAAGCUCUUCUAGAUCUCACGGCGCGAGGGAUGGCUUGUUAUAGUUCUGUUCACAGGUGUUUCCCCCAAAUCUGCAGCUUUAACCAAGUGAUUAGGCACCUUGUAAAUGUAAGUCAUGAACGUGGAGAAGGACUCGGGGGGCAGAGGGGGUGGGAACAGGUGCAGAGCCCACCGGCUCAGUCCCCAUCCUCAGGGGCCAUGAUGUAUGGCACUGCCUGGCAGCCUGGCUUUCUCUCUUCCUUUUUAAUCAUUAACCUUGAGAGCAAAAGCCUCCUUAUUUUAAUCUUCAAGGUUGCAGUAAGUCUUCGGGUCUUUAAGUGCUUGGUUCCCAGAUGGAAGCCAACAGAAGUUCUCUCUGCUGUCAGCCCAGCCACACGAUGCCUUUGACAGAUCUUUUUCUAAAAACAGAACUUGCUGUUUCCAGGGAGCCACGAAAGGGACACUCGGAACAGAAUGCCAGUCCCAGAGGGUGUGACGAUCACACUCAGAUGAUCUCAGCAUGUGGAUGCCAGCUGCAGGGAUGUGGGGACCAGCUGGGUUUUGAGUUCCAGAUAAAACUAGCGGUAGAAGGCAGAGAGCUGACUGAUGCUUUCAGGGAGGAGCAAGAUUAGAACAGGCCAGGAGGAGUUCCUGCUGUGGUGCAAGGGGAUCAGUGGGGUCUCCGCAGCACUGGGAUGCAGGUUCGAUCCCCAGCCUGGCACAAUGGGAAAGAAGGAGGACCACCAAAACCAGUCCCAGGGCCACUAAACACCCGCUUUGAAGAAUGCAAGCUGGCACCUGUCCUGAUCUCUAUCUGCAGCCCUGUUUUCCAGUCUCAAACUGCAAGACCAUCUCCUGUUCUUUCGCAAGGGGGACACAGUCUUUAAGGCAUUAGCCUGCUGGGGUCUCCUUCGCCUGGCAAAGCAAUAAAAGGUAUUUUGUUCUCCUUCACCCAAAACUCUGCCUCCGCAUUUCUAUUCGGCACUGGGGGACAGAGGCCAAGUUUCAGCAACCUAAGGAUCCAGGGCUGCUGCAGUGGGUCGUAACUGCAGCUGAUCCCUGGGCCCGGGAACUCCCUAUGCUGUGGGGCGGCCAAAAAAGACAAGGAACGAAUUAGACCAGGAAAGGUCUUAGUGAGUUACCUGCCUCGAUCAGACCCAGAGUUUGGGGCCUUAGGUGAGGAGGAAGAAAGGGGUGUUUGGGAUGGUUCUCUGGGGCCAUGUGGGCACCCGGACUGUUGGCUGAACAGAGGUCAGGAGAGCACCGGGCUUGGUGGUGCUGUCUUAGGAUGCUUGGCUUCUACACCCACGACAAGGGACGAACUAGCCUGACUUUCUAUGUAGGAUUUCUGAGAACUGAAAAAACUAAUAAACAUCACAUUUUGUUUUGUUCGAGAAAGCAGGAGACGGGAGACGCCAAUCAUGCCUUAGUUAACAUCCAUCAGGCCACAAGUCUUUGGCCUAGAGUCAGGGAACGCCAGCACAGGGAAGCCACUUAGAGCUAAUCGGGCACAAAGGCAGAAAAAGUGCGGUUCAAAAUUCCAGAUUCGAAUGACUUUUACUGAAUCGUCACUUAGCAUUUUCACAGUCCUGACCUGCUCUCGAAGGGCUGACACCAUACGAAAACCCCUCCAGUGUCAGGAUUUGUCUAGAAAAUCUUGGACUAACUUACCUGAAAAGCUUAGAAUUUUGAUUUUGCAGGACUAUUUUGUUUUCAUAUGCUUUUUUCAUUGUUAAGAAUCAUGGCUUAAGCAUUUGUCUAAAUGCAUUUUCCCAUUUUUAUCCACAAGUACUCCCUAAGAAUACAUUGUGAUAGUAACGACAUCUUUAAAAAUGUAGCAAUAUUAUCAUAUUAAAAAAACUAGUAGCAUUCUUUAAUAUCAUCAUAUAGUCACUUCCAAUUGUAUGUCUCACCUAUGAUCUAGCUAGCUACCAAUCAUCUCUCUAUAUUCUAUUUAUCUUCUAUCUAUCCAUCUAUCAUCAUCUAUCUGUCUAUCAUCUAUCUAUCUGCAAUUUACUUGUUUAAAUCGGAACACAAAUGAUGUUCACCUAUGUCAACUGGUUGAUCUCUCUCUCUCUCUCUCUUUUUUUUUUUUUUGGUCUUUUUAGGGCUGCAUCCAUGGCGUAUGGAAGUUUCCAGGCU